ensembl:lncRNA
GCGUUUGCAGUGUCGGUCCUCUGAGGGUCAGACGGAGGGACCUGAACGGACCGUGGUCUGCUGCCUGUGGAGAUGAAGGUGGAGGAGAAGCUGGAGGUGAAGGUGGAGCUGCUGAAGUUCUGCUUGGCAGUCUUUAACACCGUGUUUCUGAGGAGGUGCAGGUGGUGUCCGUGGGCCUGCUGGUGAUCGGUGGUGUUGGCGGUCAGCGUGGCAGCGACCUGUGAGAUCAGGUUCCUACUGCUGACGGGCGGCUGCUGUGGCAGAACCGGUGCUGCUGAUUGGCUGAGCAACACCUACAUCCAGAGCCUGAACCUGACGAGUCCAGACGUGCUUCCGUGUUCCUGCUUUCACUCGUUUCAGCGCAGCGUCAACUCUUCCUGGUGCUCCGAGCUGCUGAACCUCACUCUGAUUGGCCAAGGGAGCGGCACAAGCUCGCUCCUGAGGGGGCGCCGGCGGCUCUAAACCUGCUGUGUUUCAUAUCGCUGGUGUGAUGUGAUGUUUUACCCAUGAUGCUGCUGGGUUUGUGGUUUUCAGGGCUGCAGUCAGACGUUCAGUGAUUGGCUGCAGGAGAACUCCCUGACCAUCAUCGCCAUGGACGUCGCCCUGCAGUUACUGCAGGUAGUAACACUGCACUGCCUGCAGAGGGUGCAAACACACCUUUGUCACAGUCUGAGGGUUUUUAUGUGUCUUCACUGAGUCACCAGCAGAUCACUUUGACGUGUCAGCACUUCCUGUCUGCUUCUGAUUGGAUGGUUUUGAAUCAACAUGGCGGCCUGUUUGUGGUUAUAUGACAUAAAUAUUUAUUAAGGGUGAAGAAGAAGGAAGAUCAGCGCAGCUCUGUAUCUGUUAGUAGAUGAGGUACUGAGGUAGGUACUGAGACCAAGCAGCACAAACUGCAUUUCCUCCAGUGUCCACUAGACGCUGUCUCAUACAGUGAGUCUGGAUGGUAACCUUAUGUUACUCUAGCUCCAUCACACUGAGUGUUUCCGCCUCUCUGCAGGUGGUGCUGUUCGUCAUGGUGGUGUAUCUGUACCGUGCAUUUGGAGAAGGCCGCGCUCUGAAACGGACCGAUCUGCUGGCUGGCAGAGACCACGCCCCCACCGAUGACCUGGGGGAGCUGAACUACGCCUACAAUGACCAGGGUGUGUCGUGUCCUCACAGGGUAUACCCCGCCUCUCACCCAAAGCUAGCUAGGCUAGGCUCCAGCCCCCCGUGACCCUCCACUGCAG